rnacentral:rRNA from 1 species
UACGGGGGGGGGCAAGCGUUGUUCGGAAUUACUGGGCGUAAAGGGCUCGUAGGCGGCCAACUAAGUCAUACGUGAAAUCCCUCGGCUUAACCGGGGAACUGCGUCUGAUACUGGAUGGCUUGAGUUCGGGAGAGGGAUGCGGAAUUCCAGGUGUAGCGGUGAAAUGCGUAGAUAUCUGGAGGAACACCGGUGGCGAAGGCGGCGACCUGGUCCGAUACUGACGCUGAGGCGCGAAAGCGUGGGGAGCAAACAGG